rnacentral:lncRNA from 1 species
GUUCUUGUUUGUUUGUUUGUUUGUUGUUUUUUAAACUCCAAAAUGCAUUAAGCUGUAGGUCACAGUAUUUUUGUCAUUACAGGUGCUUAUAGAUCUACACACAGGAAUGCUUCCUCUUUCAUGCUCUACUCCUUCCCUAUGUUUACAGAGCGGUUUUGUUCUGAGUCUGAAACAAGUCAUCCCAUGAGCUUUGAAGACAUAGUGUACAGGACAGUGAAAUU